GACGAACGCUGGCGGCGUGCCUAACACAUGCAAGUAGAACGCCGUUGCGAACGGGUGAGUAACGCGUAGGUAACCGCCCCAUAGCGGGGGAUUACCAAUGGAAACGAUAGCUAAUAACGCAUACUUUGACAUGGACCUGCGUUGUAUUGGCUAGUUGGUGAGGUAAAGGCGCACCAAGGCGACGAUACAGAGCCGACUUGUGAGGGGGGUCGGGCACACCGGGAAGUGGACACGGCCCAAACUCCUACGGGGGGGAGCAGUAGGGGAUCAUCGGCAGUGGUCGAAAGGCUGACCGAGCAACGCCGGGUGGGAGGAGAAAGUUUUCGGAUCGUAAAGGUCUGUUGUUAGAGAAGCGGUAACUAAACAGAAAGGGACGGCUAACUACGUGCCAGCAGCCGCGGUAAUUC
rnacentral:rRNA from 1 species